AAUACUAAUAGAAAUGAAAUUAAAGGAUCCAUAGAACAGGAGCCAAAAGAACUACAAAUACCGGAAGAAAACAGAAAUAUUAUUGAAAAUGGUGAACAGAGAGAACAGGAGCCAGACGAACUACAAGAAAAAUAUACAAAAAAAGAAACGAUUAGAAAAAGGAAAAAAAUCAAAGAAAUUAAAUCAGAAAGAUUAAAAGCGAAUAAAGAAAGCAUUAAAAAUAAACAUCAGGUGACAAGAAUCCUGUGACAAAAAUAAAUGUAAAAAGCAAUGAACAAUGUUUACCCAGCUUGGUCACGAGGAAUGUGAACUCUGCGAAGAAUUUAAACUUCACAAUCCGCAACACAAUUCUGAAUCACUUAAACUGGACUGUGAAAAUUGUGAUAAAUGGAAUACACAUAUUCUUCAAGCCAAACGAUUAAGGGAAUUGUAUCAACAAGAUUGUGAAAAACCAGAGACAAAUGACACUUGCCUUACAAAAAAUAAUAAUGUUACCCAGGAUUGAGAUGUUCAAAAAGGCUAUAAUUUCCCAGAGAUUAAUUGCAUAUAAUGAAAGUUUUGUCCCGAUAGGUAAAAAAAGGGAAACAAUCGUCACCACAUGCUGUACUUUGGCUUGAAGCUGUCUAAAGAAAACAUUAAAAGUUGUUUUUAUUCCUUUUUCUUGCAUAAUAGAGAUUAUAAAGACUUUGUUAUUUGGCUUGAUAAUUGUGCAUCCCAGAACAAAAACUGGGCUUUCUUUACUUUUCUUAUUUUUCUAGUUAAUCCAGAACAAAUUGCCGCAGAACAAAUGUGCUAAUUUUGAGACUGGACACACCUUCAUGUCAGCGGACAGCUUCCACCACCACAUCAAUUCUG